rnacentral:rRNA from 1 species
CCGGCACGGGUGAGUAACACGUAUGCAAUCCACCUGUAACAGGGGGAGUAACCCGGAGAAAUCCGGACUAAUACCCAUAAUAUGGGCGCUCCGCAUGGAGAGCCCAUUAAAGAGAGCAAUUUUGGUUACAGACGAGCAUGCGCUCCAUUAGCCAGUUGGCGGGGUAACGGCCCACCAAAGCGACGAUGGAUAGGGGUUCUGAGAGGAAGGUCCCCCACAUUGGAACUGAGACACGGUCCAA